GUCUGCAUCUGGUGAAGGGCCACGCGGACGCGGGAGGCCGCCCACCCUGCAAGCCUCCCAUCCGCGGGCUCCGUCCCAGUGCCUUGCCCCUGGCCUUCCUGCCCUCUGCGAGGCGGGGCCGCGGAGUUCCUUUCUGGCCACGGAGCUGCUCCCGUCAGCUUCUGGCUCUGAGCAAGGGGUGUUCUAGCACAGCCCUGGGACGCCCCCCGGCCCCCUCCCUCCUGUCUUACCAGAGACUGAGUGGGGAGUCUGCCCUUGCGUGGCACUGCCGGCUUGGCCUCCCCAGGGGGUGGGGGCUGGGUUCCCACGGGGAGCCAGCCCGUACGGGGCGGGUCCUGCCUCCCAGUUCCCCACCGCACCGGCCGCCACGGCGACCUGACCCGUGUCCAGACUCGCCUUUGGCUCUUUCCUGUGACGAACAGCACGAACGUCUUUCUAGUCCUGAAGGGGAGGCAAGUGUGCGUGUGUGUGUGUGUGCGUGUGCGUGUGUGUGUGUGUGCGUGUGCGUGUGUGUGUGUGUGAGAGAGAACACUCAGAGGCUGUGCCCAGGGUAGGGAGAGCCCCCUGCUUUGUCCCCGCGUGUGGCAGGCACGAGCCCCAGGGCACCCUGGACUCCUCCUCCAGAAGCCGAACUAGCGAAAGGCUGACCAGGUCUUUCCAGCGAUCCCGCGCCCUGCCUGGCUCGUCUGCGGCCGCAGCCGCUCCUCGGGGGGCAGGCGCCGAUGCCCACUGCUGCCCCCCGGCACCCGUCUCCCUCCGCCCAGGCCCGUCGUGUGGGAACCUAGUGCAUCCGUGUGUGUCAGUGUCGGUGUCCCUGUCGCGGUUCUCGUGGCGUCUGCACGGCCCUGGGCGCCGCCCUGCAGCGCUUCGCUCUCGCGGGCCUGCGGGGCAGCCGCCGCAGCCUUGGCGUUUAACAGUGGCUUUUUCUUAGGUAAUCGUGCUUCCUCCGCGCCCAUCGGGUUGUGGCAUCCUUGGGCCCGCGGGGUCUUCUCCGUGUGUUUGCAUGUUCCUUGCUCCCUGGUCCGGUGUGUGUCCCCCGCCUGCAUGGACUUCUCCAGUUCUGUGUUGUGUGCUGAGUGCCCCGGUGUUCUGUGACCACCCAUGUAGCUGCCAAAAAUGGGUAAGCAAGCCAGGGCUGUCGGAGGAGGCGCCCGUCCACCUCGCGCCCCUCCUCCCCAAGCCCCAAACACAGCAAGAAGCAUUUCUAACAGGUGGGCUGAGAACGAGCGGAAUGAUACUCUUGGUUGGGAAAGAGAGAGAGAGAGGGAGAAAGAGAGAGAGCUAGCUUGGAAUCGCCUUUCCAGACCAGAUCGAGCCACCACCCUCCCUCCAGCUGUCUGGACGCUGCUGCCAGGCGCGGCCCACAGCCACUGUGCCCGGGGGCCAGCACCUGCCACCAGCCCCGGCCCCUGCCAAUACAGACCCCAGCCCACCUCGGUCCCCACGGGCCAGGUGGGAGCUGUCGGUUCAGGACCACAAGCCAUCCUCUGCCCUAGCUAGAGGGCGGAGCACACCCCAAUGCUUAUGCCUCCCGGCACCUCCCCCCCCGCCCCCCACCUCCGGAUGAGCCCACGGUGCCAGGGACAGAAGCUGACCUUUAGCUCCCGCCCCGCCCCUCGCUGGAGUCUGUGCCGAGCCCCUUCUCCUCCGUCACUGUGCUCACGCUUGGCACUUGGCUGGCCCCGAAGGAAGGUAGAUGACACGGCCGGAAAUCUAAUCCACACAGUUCCCCUCCACUCCGUAAUCGGAUUGAUGCUCCCUCUUGCACUGAAUAAUACAUGCCUCUCUCAGACUUCCCAGUUUAUUUUCUAAAACUGCAAAGAUCACUUUUGUCACCAGCCCUGGGACCUGAGACCACGGGGUGUCACGGGGGCGGGGUGGGGGCUGGCGCGAGGGUCGCAGCCAUUCCGUGGGGGCCGCCCGUUCCUGAAGGUGUGCUGGGGACCGGGAGAACCCCGAGGCCGUUUCCGGCGGGCUCUCUGUCUGGGCGCUGGGCGUCAGCUCCAGCCUGGACGGGAGCAGGGCCGGGCGCCUCGGCCCGCGCGGCUCCCGCUGCCAUGACUUCCUUCAUCUCCCACGCAGCGUGUACAUCCACCCGGCUAACGAUGGAAAGCGUGUGGCUUCCGUGCGCAGCGGACGCGUGUGCGAGUGGACUCUUGUUAGAAGGGAACGAGUCAGUGAGGAGACACACGAGCCCAAUACGUAGAGUCCCAAUUUUGUCUUCUUUGCCAAAAAAAAAAAAACAACAGAAGCAACCCCCCUAGAGUUGAUAUUGUUACCAUGUACAUACUGUAAAAUAGGAAAGAGAAUUGAUGUAUCUUACUUUUUCAUUAUUUGCUAACCAAAGUUGUACAUUUUUCAUACUACCUGCAGCCUUUUGGGUAUCAAAGGGGUCAAAACCACGGGGCUCCCCCCACCCCUCCGGCAGUUCUGGAAACGCACUAUUUCUACUGGUAUUCUUGCUUUUUUUCUUUUCUUUUUUUUCAUUUUCUUGCUGAAAUGACAUGAAUUGUUAAGUUUAUUUUUACACAGUAAAGAGUGAAGAAAG